GGGGAAGAGGAAAGUCCACCACCAUAGACGUACUUUUACUGCCUGCUGUGUCCACGAUGUGAUCCAUGGAAAGAGGGCUUCUCACCGUUGAGGAAAGAACAUUGAAAACUCUCGGCUCUCCUUGAGACUAUUUGGCUUCCCCUAGAAUUUGCUAGCCUCCACUGCUAGCUGCUGAUCUGACUGCCUGACAAAUGGCCAAUGGAGCCCAUUGAUAUUUUCAUGACACACCUUGACCCGGUACUACUUGAGACUCUAUGGUCAAGGUAAAAUAAAUAAAUAAAUAAAUACAUAAAUAAAUAAACAAAUAAUAAAUAAAUAAAUAAAUGAAGGAAGGAAGAAAUGAAGGAAGGAAGAAAGGAAGGACAGCUCAAACCCACACGUUGAUGGAGGACACCAAAGAGGAAGAUUGUUCUUCCAGAAACAACUGGCAGGACUCUGGUAACUGACCUUCACCAGGAUACUCCUCUGGGGUCCACAAAGCUUUCUGAGUUGCUCAGACCAAGUCCCUACAGGCCCCCCAGUACUUCAUAAAGUGUCUGGGAGAGACCCAGCUGACCUCCAAAUCCACCACAAGUCUUCCCUUGUUCCUGUCUAAUGAUACAGUCGGGGCCAAGUGAGUAGCUAAAAGGGCCCUGGAACUAAUCUGAAGAGGACCCUCCAAUGCACUUCUCUCUACUCCCAUGGUGAUGAAGGUGGCUGGCAUUGCACCACGGAUCUACCAUGCCUAGGUGGUAGCCACAGACACUGCUGUCAAAUGGACUUUCUUCUGGACUAUGGAUCCAUUGGAAUUAGGUUUUAUUGGGCCUCAUUAUGAGACUGUGGGUGAGAGCUGUCUCCUCCUAUCUUUAUUUCUCUCUAGUGCUGGGAUUAAAGGCGUACACCACUACUGCCCAGUUUCUAUGGCAAACUAGUGUGGCUUCUGGGGUUAAAGGUGUGUGUUACCACUGCCUGGUCUGUAACGCUGACCAGGGCGGCUGUUUUACUCUCUGAUCUUUAGGCAAGCUUUAUUUAUUAAAACACAAAUGAGAUAUCACUACAGGCCACGGUUAGCAAAAGAAACUCAAGAAGAGAAAGAGACAGAGACAUAAGUCAGAUAAUUGGAACCAAUCUGUUUUCUUGAUCACCCUGGCUAACUGUUCUCCUGUCAGCACUGACAGGGGCUCUAAUUCUCAUUCUAAUUCGAUUAACAGCGAGCCCUGCUUCUUAAACUACAAGAGAAUGAAUCCAUGGUUUGACUCAUUCACAAAGACCAGUGGGGAAGGAAUGUAGCAGGGCCCCAGACCUUAGCCCAACUGACUCCAUGAUGGAAGUGCCAUUCAGGCUAUAAAACUCAGCAUGUAGAAAGUAUUACCAGCCAAAAUGAAAACAGAGACCUAAUCCAUCAAAAUCUAUACAGUUUAGGAAAGUGCCAAAAUGUACUAACCAUGCUUUUUAGCUUCUGUAGCUCUGCUUCUGGCUAACUGUUCUUGUUAACUAAAAUGUCAACCCAGGACAUUUGUGCAUGCGCACGUGUGUGUGUGUGUGUGUGUGUGUGUGUGUGUGUGUGUGUGUGUUUAAAAGCUCACCCUGAGAAAGGCUCAGUGCUACACUGGGAUCAUGAACACCCAACGUAGUUGCCAGCUAGCUAGUAAACACUUUCUAUUGGUUGAAACCCGUGUCUGAACAGUCUUCUCUGGUGAAUACCCCACAACAGAAGUACCUUUCUGGCCACCAAACUCAGCAAGUAAACAGCAUCAGCUGGCAAAACUAAAACAAAGACUUAAUUUAUUGAAGUCUAUAUUUCUGGGAAAGUCUUUAACUAUACUUUGAUACUACUUGGGUAUUUAAUUAGCUGCUCUUAUUGACUGAAAUAUAUCAUCCCUGGAUAUGCUUUUGUGCUAAAAGCUCACCCUGAGAAAGGCUUGGUGCUACAGCGGGAUCCCAAACACCCAGUGUAAUAGCCGACCAGUUAAUAAAGAUGUUCUAAUGGCUUAAAGUAA